rnacentral:rRNA from 1 species
GAUGAACGCUGGCGGUGUGCCUAAUACAUGCAAGUCGAGCGAACAGACGAGGAGCUUACUCCUCUGACGUUAGCGGCGGACGGGUGAGUAACACGUGGAUAACCUACCUAUAAGACUGGGAUAACUUCGGGAAACCGGAGCUAAUACCGGAUAACAUGUUGAACCGCAUGGUUCAACAGUGAAAGACGGUCUUGCUGUCACUUAUAGAUGGAUCCGCGUCGCAUUAGCUAGUUGGUAAGGUAACGGCUUACCAAGGCAACGAUGCGUAGCCGACCUGAGAGGGUGAUCGGCCACACUGGAACUGAGACACGGUCCAGACUCCUACGGGAGGCAGCAGUAGGGAAUCUUCCGCAAUGGGCGAAGGCCUGACGGAGCAACGCCGCGUGAGUGAAGAAGGUCUUCGGAUCGUAAAACUCUGUUAUUAGGGAAGAACAAAUGUGUAAGUAACUAUGCACGUCUUGACGGUACCUAAUCAGAAAGCCACGGCUAACUACGUG